rnacentral:rRNA from 1 species
GAACGAUAAAGCGGGGGCAACUCCGUGAGUAAAGUGGCGACCGGGUGAGUAACACGUGACUAACCUGCCCUGAAGUGGGGAAUAACUUCGGGAAACCGAGGCUAAUACCGCAUAACGUCCGCGGGUGCAACUCCUGCGGACCAAAGGAGCAAUUCGCUUUAGGAGGGAGUCGCGGCUGAUUAGCUAGUUGGUGAGGUAACGGCCCACCAAGGCGAUGAUCAGUAGCCGGCCUGAGAGGGCGCACGGCCACACUGGAACUGAAACACGGUCCAGACUCCUACGGGAGGCAGCAGUGGGGAAUUUUGCGCAAUGGGGGAAACCCUGACGCAGCAACGCCGCGUGGAGGAUGAAGCCCCUUGGGGCGUAAACUCCUUUCGACCAAGACGAUAAUGACGGUACUGGUGGAAGAAGCACCGGCUAACUCUGUG